rnacentral:rRNA from 1 species
AACGAACGCUGGCGGCAUGCCUAACACAUGCAAGUCGAACGAGACCUUCGGGUCUAGUGGCGCACGGGUGCGUAACGCGUGGGAACCUGCCCUUAGGUUCGGAAUAACUCCCCGAAAGGGGUGCUAAUACCGAAUAAUGUCUUCGGACCAAAGAUUUAUCGCCUUUGGAUGGGCCCGCGUUGGAUUAGCUAGUUGGUAGGGUAAAAGCCUACCAAGGCGACGAUCCAUAGCUGGUCUGAGAGGAUGAUCAGCCACACUGGGACUGAGACACGGCCCAGACUCCUACGGGAGGCAGCAGUGGGGAAUAUUGGACAAUGGGCGAAAGCCUGAUCCAGCAAUGCCGCGUGAGUGAUGAAGGCCUUAGGGUUGUAAAGCUCUUUUACCCGGGAUGAUAAUGACAGUACCGGGAGAAUAAGCGCCGGCUAACUCCGUG